rnacentral:rRNA from 1 species
GCAUAUCAAUAAGCGGAGGAAAAGAAACCAACAGGGAUUGCCUUAGUAACUGGCGAGUGAAGCGGCAACAGCUCAAAUUUGAAAUCUGGCCCUCUAGGGUCCGAGUUGUAAUUUGUAGAGGAUGCUUCGGUGUUGGCCCUGGCCUAAGUUUCUUAGAACAGGACGUCAUAGAGGGUGAGAACCCCGUACGUGGCCAGUGUCCCUCACCAUGUGAAGCUCCUUCGACGAGUCGAGUUGUUUGGGAAUGCAGCUCUAAAUGGGAGGUAAAUUUCUUCUAAAGCUAAAUAUUGGCCAGAGACCGAUAGCGCACAAGUAGAGUGAUCGAAAGAUGAAAAGCACUUUGGAAAGAGAGUUAAAAAGUACGUGAAAUUGUUGAAAGGGAAGCGCUUGCAACCAGACCUGCCCGCGGUUGCUCAUCUAGGCUUCUGCCUGGUGCACUCUUCCGCGGUCAGGCCAGCAUCGGUUCGGGCGGCCGGACAAAGGCGGCGGGAAUGUAGCUCCUCUUGGGGAGUGUUAUAGCCCGCUGUGUAAUGCGGCCAGCCGGGACCGAGGUCCGCGCUUCGGCUAGGAUGCUGGCGUAAUGGUUGUAAGCGGCCCGUCUUGAAACACGGACCAAGGAGUCUAACAUCUGUGCGAGUGUUUGGGUGUCAAGCCCGGGCGCGUAAUGAAAGUGAAUGGAGGCGGGAACCCUCGGGUGCACCGUCGACCGAUCCUGAUGUCUUCGGAUGGAUUUGAGUAAGAGCAUAGCUGUUGGGACCCGAAAGAUGGUGAACUAUGCCUGAAUAGGGUGAAGCCAGAGGAAACUCUGGUGGAGGCUCGCAGCGGUUCUGACGUGCAAAUCGAUCGUCAAAUUUGGGCAUAGGGGCGAAAGUAAGUUUCAUAUUUUGCGUUUUGUUUAGGUUAUUUAGAAUUCAAUGCUAACAAUUCUGUUAGGACUAAUCGACUAUCCUAGUAGCUGGGUUCCUGCCGA